rnacentral:rRNA from 1 species
GACGAACGCUGGCGGCGUGCUUAACACAUGCAAGUCGAACGGAAAGGCCCUGCUUUUGUGGGGUGCUCGAGUGGCGAACGGGUGAGUAACACGUGAGUAACCUGCCCUUGACUUUGGGAUAACUUCAGGAAACUGGGGCUAAUACCGGAUAGGAGCUCCUGCUGCAUGGUGGGGGUUGGAAAGUUUCGGCGGUUGGGGAUGGACUCGCGGCUUAUCAGCUUGUUGGUGGGGUAGUGGCUUACCAAGGCUUUGACGGGUAGCCGGCCUGAGAGGGUGACCGGACACAUUAGGACUGGGAUACGGCCCAGACUACUACGGGAGGCAGCAGUGGGGAAUAUUGCAUAAUGGGCGGAAGCCUGAUGCAGCAACGCCGCGUGCGGGAUGACGGCCUUCGGGUUGUAAACCGCUUUCGCCUGUGACGAAGCGUGAGUGACGGUAAUGGGUAAAGAAGCACCGGCUAACUACGUG